AUACAUAUGUGGCAGGGGAGUUAGCAUGAUCAGGAAGGUGAUUCUCCCAUGGUAGGGCUGAUCCAUAGCACUCAUAGUGCAGUACAUCUGUACCGACCCUGUGAUUUCCUCAACUGCAAAGAGCUCUGCUGCACAGCUUGUUAUUGGAGAUUUCAUCUGCACUCUCCC